rnacentral:rRNA from 1 species
UACGUAGGGUGCAAGCGUUGUCCGGAAUUAUUGGGCGUAAAGAGCUCGUAGGCGGUUUGUUGCGUCGGCUGUGAAAUCCCCGAGGCUCAACCUCGGGUCUGCAGUCGAUACGAGCAAAACUAGAGUGUUGCAGGGGGAGACUGGAAUUCCUGGUGUAGCGGUGAAAUGCGCAGAUAUCAGGAGGAACACCGGUGGCGAAGGCGGGUCUCUGGGCAACAACUGACGCUGGAGGAGCGAAAGCCGUGGGGGAGC